rnacentral:rRNA from 1 species
UACGGAGGGUGCGAGCGUUAUCCGGAUUUACUGGGUUUAAAGGGUGCGUAGGUGGGUCUGUAAGUCAGUGGUGAAAUCUCCGAGCUUAACUCGGAAACUGCCAUUGAUACUAUAGAUCUUGAAUUAUCUGGAGGUAAGCGGAAUAUGUCAUGUAGCGGUGAAAUGCUUAGAUAUGACAUAGAACACCAAUUGCGAAGGCAGCUUACUACGGAUCGAUUGACACUGAGGCACGAAAGCGUGGGGAUCAAACAGGA